UGGCCAUAGAAGUAGGAGUCUGCUAACGAGUGUGUAACAACUCACCUGCCCAAUCAACUAGUUCAGAGAAUGGAUGGC
rnacentral:rRNA from 1 species